GACGAACGCUGGCGGCGUGCUUAACACAUGCAAGUCGAGCGGUAAGGCCCUUUCGGGGGUACGACGAGCGGCGAACGGGUGAGUAACACGUGGGUGACCUGCCCUCAGCUCUGGGAUAAGCCUGGGAAACCGGGUCUAAUACCGGAUAUGACUCCAUGACGCAUGUUGUGGGGUGGAAAGCCUUGUGCGGCUGAGGAUGGGCCCGCGGCCUAUCAGCUUGUUGGUGGGGUGAUGGCCUACCAAGCGACGACGGGUAGCCGGCCUGAGAGGGCGACCGGCCACACUGGGACUGAGACACGGCCCAGACUCCUACGGGAGGCAGCAGUGGGGAAUCUUGCGCAAUGGGCGAAAGCCUGACGCAGCGACGCCGCGUGAGGGAUGACGGCCU
rnacentral:rRNA from 1 species